UACGUAGGCAGCGAGCGUUGUUCGGAGUUACUGGGCGUAAAGGGUGUGUAGGCGGUUGUUUAAGUUUGGUGUGAAAUCUCCCCGGCUCAACUGGGAGGGUGCGCCGAAUACUGAAUAACUAGAGUGCGGGAGAGGAGAGUGGAAUUCCUGGUGUAGCGGUGAAAUGCGUAGAUAUCAGGAGGAACACCGGUGGUGUAGACGGCUCUCUGGACCGUAACUGACGCUGAGACACGAAAGCGUGGGUAGCAAACAGG
rnacentral:rRNA from 1 species